UCCAAGUUGGGUUACCCGAGGAUGGCCAUACAGCGGCUCAGCCGGUGGCGGACCAGGCUAUACCGCAGCCAAACUCAUCAAAACACCAGAAACUACAGUAAAAGACUAUCCCCACUUGUUAUGUGUCUUCUGAGAACAAAAGCAUUGAAAUGAUGAUUACUCGCUGCAACGUACUCGCAAUGUGUCCACUAACUGCCUGUCCAUAUUGCCCGUGUUUCCACAUCAGUGUCGCUGCAUUCUCCAAAAGG